UCUCCAUGAGCAACGCCAAGGUUUUGACUGCUGUGCCAGCAUUUGAGUUGGACCCUCCCACAAUAUCUAUGACUUUUGGUGUCAAAGAUUCACCUUUGGGUGGCCGUGAUGGCACUCAUACAGGCUCUAUUGGAAGUUUGGUGUCCUCGGACAGAGUUGGCCAUCCUUACCUGCAACCUCACCAUCUCCGACCUGUCCCUUGCCAGAACCUGCUCGUCCACAUGCUAGACAACCACUGCAUCAAAUGCAACAAGAAGAUCGAGGCUGGAGAAAGUGAAGGCGAGUUUGAGGGCCAGACAUUCUCCUCCUUCUAUUUCCUCUACCUCCCCCUAGAUUUCAACUUGCUCAGAGGUUAAAUCAAUACCGCAAUUGCAAGUUUCUCGGAAGCUUUAUCUUGCAUGAAGUUGGCUAUAUUGACUACUUCGGAGGCUCUUUUGGUAUUCGAUGUGACAUCUCAGUGGGAUAUGUUUUUCCAUUCGAUAGUGUCUCUGCGCUAGGUAUUGGAGAUAUAUUAAAGGACUAAUUCAGAUGUAUGGAAAUGGCUCACAGGUAAGGCUGGCUACCCUCAUCUAGAGCAGGCCAUUAACGAGUGGAUAUGAGUCGGCGAGUGGCGACGGCAAAUUCACCACUUCUACUCCAUGUGCAGGUGCUUAUCAAUGAAUGGUAUGAUGGAUUGACAGCAGAUUUUUGGUCAUGUGGUGUUAUUCUUUACGUGUUAAUGGCUGGAUCCCCCCUUUUGAAGAAAAUGAUCUUUCAACCUCGUAUGACAAGGUACUGGCUUCUUUACUGGUGUGAUGCUCGUGGUCGAUCUUGCGGAUAAUUUUGCCAAAUUGUAGACAUAUAAAUUUCGCUUAUAUUUGGAAGCGAACAUGUUUGUUAAGAAAGUUACAGAUAAUUGCAGCUCACUUUUCAUGCCCAGA